rnacentral:rRNA from 1 species
CCUACGGGUGGCAGCAGUGAGGAAUAUUGGUCAAUGGGCGCGAGCCUGAACCAGCCAAGUAGCGUGAAGGAUGAAUGCCCUACGGGUUGUAAACUUCUUUUAUAAAGGAAUAAAGUGAGGCACGUGUGCCUUUUUGUAUGUACUUUAUGAAUAAGGAUCGGCUAACUCCGGGCCAGCAGCCGCGGUAAUAAGGAGGAUGCGAGCGUUAGCCGGCGUUAUUGGGUGUAAAGGGUGCGUAGGUGGACGGUUAAGUCAGCGGUGACAGCCAGGGGCGCAACCCCGGGGAGCCGUUGAAACUGGCUGUCUUGAGAUGUCGAGAGGUAUGCGGAAUGCGCAGUGUAGCGGUGAAAUGCUUAGAUAUUGCGCAGAACUCCGAUUGCGAAGGCAGCAUACCGGCGGCGAUCUGACGCUGAGGCACGAAAGCGUGGGUAUCGAACAGGAUUAGAUACCCCAGUAGUC